rnacentral:rRNA from 1 species
GCUAUCGACAGGCUUAACACAUGCAAGUCGAGGGGCAGCGGGGGUAGCGAUACCCGCCGGCGACCGGCACACGGGUGAGUAACGCGUAUGCAACUUGCCUAUCAGAGGGGGAUAACCCGGCGAAAGUCGGACUAAUACCGCAUGAAGCAGGGGCCCCGCAUGGGGAUAUUUGCUAAAGAUUCAUCGCUGAUAGAUAGGCAUGCGUUCCAUUAGGCAGUUGGCGGGGUAACGGCCCACCAAACCGACGAUGGAUAGGGGUUCUGAGAGGAAGGUCCCCCACAUUGGUACUGAGACACGGACCAAACUCCUACGGGAGGCAGCAGUGAGGAAUAUUGGUCAAUGGCCGAGAGGCUGAACCAGCCAAGUCGCGUGAGGGAUGAAGGUUCUAUGGAUCGUAAACCUCUUUUAUAAGGGAAUAAAGUGCGGGACGUGUCCCGUUUUGUAUGUACCUUAUGAAUAAGGAUCGGCUAACUCCGUGCCAGCAGCCGCGGUAAUACGGAGGAUCCGAGCGUUAUCCGGAUUUAUUGGGUUUAAAGGGUGCGUAGGCGGCCUUUUAAGUCAGCGGUGAAAGUCUGUGGCUCAACCAUAGAAUUGCCGUUGAAACUGGGGGGCUUGAGUAUGUUUGAGGCAGGCGGAAUGCGUGGUGUAGCGGUGAAAUGCAUAGAUAUCACGCAGAACCCCGAUUGCGAAGGCAGCCUGCCAAGCCAUUACUGACGCUGAUGCACGAAAGCGUGGGGAUCAAACAGGAUUAGAUACCCUGGUAGUCCACGCAGUAAACGAUGAUCACUAGCUGUUUGCGAUACACUGUAAGCGGCACAGCGAAAGCGUUAAGUGGUCCACCUGGGGAGUACGCCGGCAACGGUGAAACUCAAAGGAAUUGACGGGGGCCCGCACAAGCGGAGGAACAUGUGGUUUAAUUCGAUGAUACGCGAGGAACCUUACCCGGGUUUGAACGCAUUCGGACCGAGGUGGAAACACCUUUUCUAGCAAUAGCCGUUUGCGAGGUGCUGCAUGGUUGUCGUCAGCUCGUGCCGUGAGGUGUCGGCUUAAGUGCCAUAACGAGCGCAACCCUUGCCACUAGUUACUAACAGGUAAAGCUGAGGACUCUGGUGGGACUGCCAGCGUAAGCUGCGAGGAAGGCGGGGAUGACGUCAAAUCAGCACGGCCCUUACAUCCGGGGCGACACACGUGUUACAAUGGCGUGGACAAAGGGAGGCCACCUGGCGACAGGGAGCGAAUCCCCAAACCACGUCUCAGUUCGGAUCGGAGUCUGCAACCCGACUCCGUGAAGCUGGAUUCGCUAGUAAUCGCGCAUCAGCCAUGGCGCGGUGAAUACGUUCCCGGGCCUUGUACACACCGCCCGUCAAGCCAUGGGAGCCGGGGGUACCUGAAGUCCGUAACCGAAAGGAUCGGCCUAGGGUAAAACUGGUGACUGGGGC